GGGAGAGACGGAGAAUGAGAGCCAGGGACAACAACGUCACAUUAGAAAGUCUUUGCCAAUACAGCAUGAUGAAGAAGAUGCUGAAGGAGGAGAUGAGGCAACCUGAAAAGUCUGAAACUGGAAGUCAACUCAGCCAACUGAAGUUCCCAGAAACUGCAGGACCACAGUAAUGAGAAGAAAAAUGCUGACAGUGUUGAGAAGAGGGGAAAAAAAGGCAUACUUGUGGCGGGGCGUGGUUUGCGGUGCCGCUGAAGGGGAGGCGGGCACACCAGAGCGGCAUCUGCAAUCACGCUGCAUAAAAUGGGAACUGGGUCCUAUCAUCUUGUUGUUGUUGGUAUGUCCAGCAGUGAGCUGCAAAGCCUCGGCCAUGUGUUUGUAACAGCAACCAGUGAA